rnacentral:snoRNA from 1 species
AAUUCCUUCGUGAUGCAAUCAUUACGGAUGUAAGGAGUAUAACUCCAUUUUCCGAGAGCGCAUAACCCCAUGUGGAUUAUUCCGUUGCCUUCCUUCUGAUCCCAU